CCUACGGGAGGCAGCAGUGGGGGAUAUUGCACAAUGGGGGGAACCCUGAUGCAGCGACGCCGCGUGGGUGAAGGAGUGCUUCGGCAUGUAAAGCCCUAUCGGCAGGGAAGAAGCAAGACGGUACCUGACUAAGAAGCCCCGGCUAACUACGUGCCAGCAGCCGCGGUAAUACGUAGGGGGCGAGCGUUAUCCGGAUUCACUGGGUGGAAAGGGAGCGUAGACGGCCAUGCAAGCCAGGGGUGAAAGCCCGGGGCCCAACCCCGGGACUGCCCUUGGAACUGCAUGGCUGGAGUGCGGGAGGGGCAGGCGGAAUUCCUGGUGUAGCGGUGAAAUGCGUAGAUAUCAGGAGGAACACCGGCGGCGAAGGCGGCCUGCUGGACCGCGACUGACGUUGAGGCUCGAAAGCGUGAGGAGCGAACAGGAUUAGAUACCCCUGUAGUC
rnacentral:rRNA from 1 species